GACGAACGCUGGCGGCGUGCUUAACACAUGCAAGUCGAGCGGUAAGGCCCUUCGGGGUACACGAGCGGCGAACGGGUGAGUAACACGUGGGUGACCUGCCCUCAGCUCUGGGAUAAGCCUGGGAAACCGGGUCUAAUACUGGAUAUGACUCCAUGACGCAUGUUGUGGGGUGAAAGCCUUGUGCGGCUGAGGAUGGGCCCGCGGCCUAUCAGCUUGUUGGUGGGGU
rnacentral:rRNA from 1 species